rnacentral:rRNA from 1 species
UACGGAGGGUGCAAGCGUUAUCCGGAUUCACUGGGUUUAAAGGGUGCGUAGGUGGGUUGGUAAGUCCGUGGUGAAAUCUCCGAGCUUAACUCGGAAACUGCCGUGGAUACUAUCAAUCUUGAAUACUGUGGAGGUAAGCGGAAUAUGUCAUGUAGCGGUGAAAUGCUUAGAUAUGACAUAGAACACCGAUAGCGGAGGCAGCUUGCUACACAGUCAUUGACACUGAGGCACGGAAAGCGUGGGGAGCGAACAGG